rnacentral:rRNA from 1 species
UAUAACAUAGAAUUAAUGCAACAAAUCCCACUAGAACUCGACAUUUAAGCGCGCUUAGGAUAGAGUAGUACUAGAAUGGGUUACCACACGGGAAGUCCUAGUGUUUUAC